CAGCAGCCGCGGUAAUACGAAGGGUGCAAGCGUUAAUCGGAAUUACUGGGCGUAAAGCGUGCGUAGGCGGUUUGUUAAGUCUGCUGUGAAAUCCCCGGGCUCAACCUGGGAAUGGCAGUGGAUACUGGCAAGCUAGAGUGCGUCAGAGGAUGGUGGAAUUCCCGGUGUAGCGGUGAAAUGCGUAGAGAUCGGGAGGAACAUCAGUGGCGAAGGCGGCCAUCUGGGACAACACUGACGCUGAGGCACGAAAGCGUGGGGAGCAAACAGGAUUAGAUACCCCUGUAGUCCCUGUCUCUUAUAC
rnacentral:rRNA from 1 species